GACAAACGCUGGCGGCAUGCCUAACACAUGCAAGUCGAACGGACAGACCAGGGAAGCUUUUCGGCGUGGAACUGGAAAGUUAGUGGCGGAUGGGUGAGUAACGCGUGGACAACCUACCUUGUAAAGUGGAAUAACCUCGAGAAAUCGCAGCUAAUACCCCAUAAUACCCUUGCUUCGCUUGAAGUAAGGAGGAAAGGCGGCCUUAGCGCUGUCGCUACAAGCUGGGUCCGCGUCUUAUUAGCUAGUUGGUGGGGUAAAGGCUCCCCAAGGCGACAAUCAGUAGCGGGCCUGAGAGGGUGAACGGCCAAAUUGGAACUGGGACGCGGCCAAACUCCUACGGGAGGCAGCAGUGGGGAAUCUUCCGCAAUGGGCGAAAGCCUGACGGAGCAAUGCCGCGUGAGUGAAGAAGGCCUUCGGGUUGUAAAACUCUGUCCUUAUCGAAGAGAGAGUGUUGUAGUAACUGACAAUACUAGGACGGUAGAUGAGGAGGAAGCCCCGGCUAACUAUGUG
rnacentral:rRNA from 1 species